UACGAAGGGGGCUAGCGUUGCUCGGAAUCACUGGGCGUAAAGCGCACGUAGGCGGCUUUCUAGGUCAGGGGUGAAAUCCUGGAGCUCAACUCCAGAACUGCCUUUGAUACUGGAGAGCUUGAGUCCGGAAGAGGUGAGUGGAACUCCGAGUGUAGAGGUGAAAUUCGUAGAUAUUCGGAAGAACAUCAGUGGCGAAGGCGACACCCUGGACUCAUACUGACACUGAGGUGCGAAAGCGUGGGGAGCAAACAGG
rnacentral:rRNA from 1 species